rnacentral:lncRNA from 1 species
GUAAUGUAAACAGACUAUAAAAGAACAUUUUCCCCUAAUCAAUACCUAUCCUCUUAGCUGCUAAAUAAUUUUACCAGAAAUUUAUCAUCUCUUUUUUUUUAAAGAAAAUUUAUCAUCUCUUCAAUCGUCUGUUUAUAAUAUCUUCAUAUUAUUAGCCACGAAAACUGAAUAUGCAUGCACAUUUGGAUGAACCACGAUAUAAGGCGUUAAAAAAAGUGUUAAACUUAGGCCUGGGCACUUUACCUGAUACCCGAACCUGCACCCAAACCUGACCCGAAAAACCCGAACCGAAAUC